CCCCAAGCACUCUCCUAGGCCCUAGGACCUGAUGGGUGUGGUGAUUCAGCUCUUUGCUGUCCCCUCCCAGUACUUGGGCACCCCGUUUGAUUGUUCUGCUGGGUCUCAGGAGCCUGGGAUUGUUAGAUACCACUGACUGCCCCUCCUCCCUUCCAGGGUAUCCCACCUGUAAAUGGUGAAUGGGUGAGAGGGUUUGGAGUUCCAAAGAUUUGGAGAAUUGGAGUAGAUUUUGAAGCAUUGGGAGGGGGUGGGGGGGUCUCAGAGGGGGCCAUGGCUGAGCUGCUUAUAGGUUUGUUUUGUUCUGGAUUUUUUUUUUUUUUUUUUUUUUUUCAGAACUGGGAAGCUCCAGACCUGAUUUAAAGAGAUAGGCUCCCGAGAAGGGAGCAUUCCUUGCCUUGACAUGAAUUAUUCAGGCCGGAGAGGCUGACACUUGAUCCACAGGCCAUUCUGGUAUCAGCAGAGCUGGUUGGGAUGGAGGCUCCACCCUCCCCCCCAUAGGAAUCAGUUAGUCUUUCUCCUGAAUUAGGGACAGUUGUUGGAUUGACUUCUUCCCUGAGGUUAUAUUUAACAGAUUGGCCAACAGAUCAAUACCACUUAAGGAGAAGAGGCAGACCCUGCGGUGGCUGGGUCCCAGGCAAAGACCAACAACAUCAAGGACCAGUGUUCCUGGAUCUGUCCACGGUGCUGAAUGUCUUUAUCCUUCUUGCCACUGCCUGCCUCAGAAUGGCUACUUCUAGAAGGGGAAGUUAGCCACCAUGGCAAGAGUACCCUUAUGGAGAGGCUUGCGUAAAAACUAAACCCUUUGACCAACUGCCAGCAAAAAAUGGUUGCCUGACAACAACCACAGAGUGAGCCUGGAAGUGGAUCCCCGUUAAGCCUUCUGAUGACUGCAGCCCUGGCUGACACUUGACUGCAACCUCAUGAGAGAUCCUGAGCACAAUCUCACAGUCAGUCCA